GACAGAGGGUGCAAACGUUGUUCGGAAUUACUGGGCGUAAAGGCGCGAUGUAGGCAGUUUCGUCAAGUCGGGUGUGAAAGCCCUGGGCUCAACCCAGGAAGUGCACUCGAACUGACGAGACUUGAGUCCUGGAGAGGAAGGCGGAAGUCUCGGUGUAGAGGUGAAAUUCGUAGAUAUCGAGAGGAACACCGGUGGCGAAGGCGGCCUUACUGGACAGUCGACUGACGCUGAGACGCGAAAGCGUGGGAGCGAACG
rnacentral:rRNA from 1 species